rnacentral:rRNA from 1 species
AACGAACGCUGGCGGCAGGCCUAACACAUGCAAGUCGAGCGCCCCGCAAGGGGAGCGGCGGACGGGUGAGUAACGCGUGGGAACGUGCCCUUUGCUUCGGAAUAGCCUCGGGAAACUGAGAGUAAUACCGAAUGUGCCCUACGGGGGAAAGAUUUAUCGGCAAAGGAUCGGCCCGCGUUGGAUUAGGUAGUUGGUGGGGUAACGGCCUACCAAGCCGACGAUCCAUAGCUGGUUUGAGAGGAUGAUCAGCCACACUGGGACUGAGACACGGCCCAGACUCCUACGGGAGGCAGCAGUGGGGAAUCUUAGACAAUGGGCGCAAGCCUGAUCUAGCCAUGCCGCGUGAGCGAUGAAGGCCUUAGGGUUGUAAAGCUCUUUCAGCGAGGAAGAUAAUGACUGUACUCGCAGAAGAAGCCCCGGCUAACUCCGUGCCAGCCGCCGCGGUAACAC